rnacentral:rRNA from 1 species
CACGUAGGGACCAAGCGUUGUCCGGCUUCAUUGGGCGUAAAGAGCUCGUAGGCGGUUCGAUAAGUCGGGGGUGAAACCUCCAGGCUCAACCUGGAGACGCCACCCGAUACUGUCGUGACUAGAGUCCAGUAGGGGAGCGUGGAAUUCCUGGUGUAGCGGUGAAAUGCGCAGAUAUCAGGAGGAACACCAGCGGCGAAGGCGGUUCUCUGGGCCUGUACUGACGCUGAGGAGCGAAAGCGUGGGGAGCGAACAGG